rnacentral:misc_RNA from 1 species
UAAUAAGUGUUUUAUGGCACUUUUUAAAUCCAUAUCCACCUUGUGUGCAAUGUCGGUCGAUCUUCUUCUUGAGGAUCGACCAAACAUCAACCUUUAUUUUUUAACUCUUUGUCUGAAAAAUAUUAUGAAUAAACAAUUCAAAAUA